UUAUUUAUAAAAGAGACUAUUGGAAUUAAAACUGAGUCAAAAAAUCAAUUAAAAAACUGAGAAAUAACAGGAAUUAAAUUUGAAUUUUAAAUAACAGAAAUUAAUGUUAGCAUGCCACUCUGCUCCCGCGCUCCAACGGACGUAUCUUUUCUGGAAUAACAUAUCUCCAACCACCCACGCUCCUCCCCCGUUCGGAUUCUCGUAUCUUCCCCACCCCCCUCCUCUCUCUCUCUCUCUCUAUCUAACCCUCUGGGAGAGUUGCGGACAGCUCUCUCCUCUCUCUCUCUUCUCGUAUUUUAGUGACCGCCAGCCUGAGCCUAUCCGCCCAUUCCUUGCCCUGCUUCUUCUACUCGCUCUCUCACUCUCUCUCUCUGAUCGUCUCCCCAAAUUGGCUAGGGUUUCAUUUUCUCAUUUUGCAGCUAUGGAAUUGAUUGUGUGCACGGCGCGUACAUGCUCGUCUCCACCGCUAUCGUCAUCCAAUUUCGAUUCCUUCAAUACACGCACUGCCGGUGGCGGCGCCGUGCCACUAAUUACAACCAAGAAGAAGCUGCGAGUUGUUGCCAAGGCUCCUCCCCCAUUCGGAUUCGUAUCUUCCCCCCCCCCCCCCCCCCCCCCACCCCUCGCUCCCCCCUCCUCUCUCUCUCUCUAACCCUCUGGGAGAGAUGCGGACAGCUCUCUCCUCUCUCUCUCUCUCUGCGUUCUCUCGUCUCACUCUCUCUGUCGCUGCCGCCAACGCCUCUACCAUCGCUGCGGAAUCCAACUCCUCCCACCCGAGAUCCAAGGAGGUUAGCUUGCCCGGCAUGAUCGGUGCCGCAUUGGAGAAGGAAUUCACCGAGAUUGAAGAUCUGCCCCAAGGUCCUGGGUGCUUUAACUAUAGUGUAGCUGAUCAGCAGGUUGGUAGAGAUUGUCUUCCUCUUCUUCUUCUUCUUCUGUUUUUUUUUCCCUGUUGCAAAUAUUUUGUUUGUUGUACAUUGCUAACAUCAGGAAACGGAACAAUCAAGAAUCUCGAGCAAGGGGCCAAGCCUUAUCUUCCUGGAGGCUCUUUAAUUUAUUUUGAGUUGUUUGUCAUUUAGAAAUGUAAGGGAAAAAGAUAUGGAAAGUUAUGUCUUUUGGGGGCAUGUAAUAUUUAAUGUGGUGCCGUUGUUGUCUUUUCUCUCUAGGAUUAUCUAGAUGCUGAUGCAAGAGCUGAAGAGAAUAAAGACAUCAAGUAGUUUGAUAGUCUUGACAAGGUGCUCUUGAAAAGAGUGAGAUAAUGCCUCCCGGUAGAUACUUCAUUUUCCGCCAUGCCAAUUUCUUUUGAAAGCUCUCACUCUAAACCAUUCCAUCUUGGAUUGCCUUCACCUUAAAAGCUUGAAUGCAACAACUGACCCAGAUAAGAAGGCAAGAGCCACUUUGCAAUCUUAGUAAAUUCUAAUACUUCCAAUCCAAAUUCACCUUAAGUCUUGAUACAGCAAGGAAAGAAAAGCAGGACAUGCAUGAGAUCCCCUCUUUGUCCUUAAGAGACAUUGUAUCAUCUGGGAACAACAGUUACACUGCCAUCUGGGAUGAUUCAGUCUGCCCUGUUUUAUUGAGUAACAUCCUGCUUUAUUCCAUUUUCUGACUAUAUUUGUUUAUUGUUUCCAAUUUUAUCAGGCAGUUUUGGUAACAGUUGCUAGGGUUAAGUCCAAAAAAAUGACACCACCGGGGAGAAGUUAAGUGUUUCUAUCUUGUGGAGUGAUUAACAGCUUGUCUAAAAUUUUUAUUUCCAUGAGUCUUAUGCCAGGUCAUUUCAACUUCAUAAUGUUUUCAAAUUUGAAAAUGACAGUGGAGCAGAAGACAUGACAAAAUUAAUAGAUCAAAAGUUUCCCUAACACUUAAGGCAUGGAUAUUUUCUUCUACUAGGGAAAGGGUUGUGCUCGGUUGAGGAAGAACUUGUUUAUUCACACCAUCCACCAGGAAACAUGAUUACUGCAAACCAGUAAUGGAACUCGGUUGUGCAACUAGAUGAUGCUUAACUGUUAAGGUGAAGCACGAGAUUUCACGCUCUUACGAGAAAAUUGCUGAGCGACUAAAGCUUAUUCUUAAAGAGGAAGUCAUUGGAUUGUUUUGUGGAGGUCUAUAUGCAGCUUCAACGCUUGCAGUUAUCACUUGGACAUGUUCUCCGCACUGAAUGCUUGGGAAAUGAGAGAGCUCCUCAACUACACAGACAUAUAACACUUUGAUCUUACAUUCUCAGCAACCCAGUGGGCAGGUUCUCCGCACUUAAUGCUUGGGAAAUGAGAGAGCUGCUAUACUACACAGUUAUGUUCUCAGGACUGAAUGCUUGGGAAAUGAGAGCUCCAAUCCUACGUAGACAAGUAGCUCUUCGUUCUUACUUUCUCAGCCAACGAGGUGAAGUACGAGAUUUCACGCUCUUACGAGAAAAUUGUUCUGCGACUAAAGCUUAUUCUUAAAGAGGAAGUCGUUGGAUUGUUCUGUGGAGGUCUACAUGCAGUUUCAACGCUGGCAAUUAUCACUUGGACAUGUUCUCCGCACUGAAUGCUUGGGAAAUGAGAGAGCUCCUCAACUACACAGACAUCGCGCUGAUCCUGAGCUUCUUAGCCUUUGAAGGUGUUGUCGGGAGCUCUUGAUUAAGUAGAUAUCUCAUUGGCCACAUCAAUGCAAUGCAUCUAUCCCUCCUUUUCAUCUAUACUUGGCCGUUGUAAGACCUCCAUAUGAAUCGGUCGUCCGAGGGUGUCCCGAGUGGAGGCUAGCUUGGACUUCCCGUCUGCAUGUUGGUUGAGGGAUCUGUUGAUUUGGAUUAGCUCAAAGCGUCUGAAUUUGUGUGCCAAUUCCCUUUCCUUCUGCAGAUAAUGGGACGACGUUGGGACCCUUACUUCGUAAGUCCCUUGAAACUUUUCCACAACUAACUGCGAGUCACUGUGAGCCAUUAGAUCAAUUACCUCCAACUUUUCAGCCAGUUUCAUCCUCGCUAGCAGCGCUUCGUACUUAGCCGUGUUAUUGGAACUGGGAAGGGUGAAACGCAAGGAGUAUUCCAACGCCUCCUAGGGGGAGAUUGAUACCACUCCUACUCUACUCCAUUCGCAUUGGACGCCUCGUCUACAAAUAACAUCAACUCUUUCCUGGGCACCUCUUUUGCUGUUGGGGAGUGAUUGCACUCCACUAUAAAAUCUACCAAUGCUUGCCCCUUUAUUGCCUUUCUGAGCUCGAAGUUGAGAUCAUACUCAUUGAGUUCAAUAGCCUACUUGGUUAACCUUCCCGAACACUCAGGCUUCUGUAGGAUUUGUCUUAAUGGUUGAUUUGUUAACACUGUCACGGUGUGGGCCUGAAAGUAGGGUCUCAAUUUUCUCACUACUGUUAUCAGCGCCAGAGCUACCUUUUCAGCGUGGAGGUAUCGCAACUCUGCUCCCUGCAAAACCUUGCUCACAUAAUAAACUAGGCUGUCGACUUGUUCCAUCUUUCUAACAAGAAUUACGCUUACAACGUGGUGACUGACUCCCAAAUAUAGGCAUAGCCUUUCUCCUGUUUUCGGUUGAGUCAAUAGGGGAAUCUCCUUUAGGUACUCCUUCAAUUCUUGAAAUGUCUUUUCGCAUUUGGUAGUGCAUUGAAAAUCCCUACCCCCCUUUAAGGCCUUGAAGAAAGGGAGGCUGCGUUCAGCGUAUUUGGAGAGGAACCUGCUCAGAGCUGUCAACUGACCCAUCAGCCUUUGAACCUCUUGUACUGAUGAAGGGGACUGCAUGUCAAUCUUUGCUUGCACCUUUUCUGAGUUGGCCUCUAUCCCCCUGUGAGUAAUCAUGUAUCCUAGGAAUUUUCUUGAUUUCACCCUAAAUGCACACUUGUCAAAAUUCAAACGCAUAUUAUUCUCCCAGAACACUGCCAAAACUUUCUUCAAUUGUUGGGCGUAUGACUCGCUUUGCUUACUCUUCACUAUCAUGUCAUCCACAUAGGCCUCCAUCUCCUCCCCUAGAAAAUCUUUGAAUACUUUGUUGACCAUUCUCUGAUACGUGGCCCAUGCAUUCUUCAAACCGAAAGGCAUCACCUGGUAACAGUACGUCCCAUUUUUUGUGAUAAAGGUCGUCUUUUUCAGCAUCAGGCGGAUAGAUUCAGAUCUAAUGGUAGCUCGAAAACGCAACCAAAAAACUCAGCACAGUAUAUCCGGAGGUAUCAUCAACUAGCCUAUCUAUUCGGGGGAGUGGGUAGGAGUCUUUCUGACAGGCCUUCUUCAGGUUUGUAAAAUCGAUGCAUACUCGCCAUUUUCCAUUAGCUUUUGUCACCAUCAUGACAUUCGCUAGCCACACGAGGUAUUGGACCUCCCUAAUGAAUCCCGCUUCAAGGAGUUUGUCUACUUCUUUUUCCAAGUACCUCAACCUCUCUGGGGGCAAUGUGUCUUUUCUUCUGUUUGACUAGCCGGGCUUUUGCUGAUUAUUAAAGUCUCGAAUAUGAAAUCAUCUUUUGCCUGUCAAUAUGAAUUGUUUUGGAUAUGACCUUAUGGUGUUAAUUGAGGUACGUCUGUAUCUGUUAAAAUACAUGCUAAAUUAUAUUAUAGUGUCUUAAAUGAAGUUGCUCAUUGAGUGCUAUGUCCUAAUGUUUUGAUGAUGAAUCUUGCUAUGAGUGUAUGAUUUAUAAAAUUCUUGAAUUAGCUUGUUCUUCUUUCGUGAUUGAUGUUUUGAAUGAUCUUUGAUUAUGAUGAAAAUGAUUGUUUGUUGACUAAGGUAUUUCUAUACCUAAGUGCAUACAUAUUUGAUUGAAUAUUCAUGAUUUGCAUUUAGAUAAUUAAGUGAAAAAUCUUGAUGUUUUGAUGAGGUGGUAGUCAAAUGAUUGGUUUGCCUACGAUUGUAUUAGGUUAAAGGUAAUCUCGAGUAAGUGUGUAUAGAUAUAGGUCUCUAUGGAAUAUUAGUCGUGUAAUGGGGAAGUGUUACUCGAGUUGCUAAAAUAGAAUAGAUAUUUUUAAAAAGAAACUCGAGCUUGUCACUCGAGUGUCAUAGGACUAGAAUCCUAGUGCUUGAAAGCACUUUAGCUUUGAUAUAUUAGUUCAAAUUUUCUUAAACUUGAUUUAUGAUUUUGAAUUAUUUGCUUUUGUUGAUUAAUGUUUGCCUAAAUUGUCAAGAUGACUCAAAUAGGUUAGAACAUUUGUGGCUUGUUUGUGGCUUGAGUGUUAAAAGAAUUGUGGCUUGUUUGUGGGGGAAGCAUGUCCUCUAUUUAAAUCUAUCUAAGGUUUGAUUUCUUAAGAAGAUAGUAAAUCUUCUUUUUGAUCAGCUUGUUGUUAAAUAUAUAUAUUCUUGCAAUAUUUGGGUGUACUUAGUCUUAGAAUGAAUAUUUCAAAAAGGGGGAGAGAAUUCCUUUAGUAUGUUCUAUCUAUUAAUGUUCUAAUAUGUUUUAGAGUGUUUUAGCCGUAUGUUUUAUUGAUAUGUUUGUAAAUACCUUUCUUUGGGGUUCUAUCUAUUAAUGUUAUCAUAUGAGCGUUUUGGUCAUAACCUGCUAAGUAUUUUAUGUGUCAGUAUUCUUCAAGAUUUUAGAGUAAUGUAUUAUAUAUUUCAUAAUUGAUGUUUAAGUGCUAGGCGUCAAGAUUGUUACGUAAAUGAUCGUAUACUCAAGUGAUGGUACUUGAGUUUUGAUUUGAAGGAUUUAUAUUAUCUUAUACUUUAUAUUAAGGUUGUGCCAAUAACCUUACUAUGUUUUGCUAGUGAUUAAUCUUGCUCUUUUUUAUGUGUCUGUUAUAUCAAGAACUUGCUCUACGAUUUCAUGGGAUAUCUUAAGAAUGCUAAUGCAUUAGGGUCAUGGGUAAAUGUCAUAUAUCCAAGGCAGUUAGUGUGUGAAGUAUGCCAAGGCAGUUAGUGUUCUAACAUUGGGGGUGGCAUGCUAACCAUUCGGGUCUCGUGUGGUUUGCACCAUUACUAAUUCAGUGAGAUGGUUAAUUAUAUUACUAUCAAAACCUAGCAAGGAGUUACUCAAUCUCAUUGAUAAUUAAAGGUCAUUCACCCGUCACGUUAUUAGGACUAACUCAGGAAUCUAUUGACGUUGGACUUACUUUUUUAAUUUAGUAAAAAAAAAAAAAACCAUGUAUGUGACGAGACAAACAAUUGAAAAUAAACAUUAGAACCAUGUUUUAACUAAUGGUAAAUAUUCGAUUACCUAGCAUCUGCAUAGAUUUUGAAUGUCAAAUAGACACCUAAAUUCUAGGAUAUUUGAAUAUUUAUUGAGAUUUUGGUAGAAUGUAGACUGGGACUUGGUAAAAUGGGAUUUCAUUAUUCUAAUUAUUUGAAUAGAAGUUUGGUUUGUUUGAUGAUAUCAACAUCCUCUAGAAUUUUGUAAAGCUCAACUAUGCAUGUUGGUAUAAAUAUUUGGGUCAGUAAAGGGCAUCCCUAGUGCACAAGACUCCACACUUGAGGGUUGGGGAGGGUUGUCUAUAUAUGUGGCCUUACCCUUGCUUUUGCAAGGGGGCUGUUUGCUCAACUUGGUCCUAUGACCUUCCAAUCAUAGAGUAGCGACCUUACAAAUUGUAUUUAGGCUUGUGACUUAAAUGGACUUCCAAAUUGCUUUCAGGUUUGUGAUUCUAAGACCUUGGUUCCAGUUUUUUCAUCAUUCUAUGAAGUUACUAAUUUAAUCUUUGGAACAAGUUCUUUUUAUGUAAUUUAUCUCCAUAAUAUGCUAUCAAUUUAUGAUUUUAAAUCGCUGUCAAAUUUUCUGGUAUACUUAUUUCAAGUUGAUUAGCAUCUCCAAGGCUUGUCUUCACCCUUGGGUCAGGGAAGUAGAGAAAAGAUUGAAAUGAAAAACAUAAGCCAAGGAUUCUUCACUUUCUGUCCAUUCUUAAAUCAGAUACUUUGUGUUAAUUUUUUGUUUGUUUGUUUGUUUUAAU